GAUGCUCUUCUGGGAAGUGAGGAUACAGUGGUCAGACGACGUUCCUGCCCUGAAGACAAAAUGUUAGCAAAUGUCAGUGCUGGGUGGUACACCCAGCAACAGGCAUCAGCUCCAUCGUUCCUGUGAAAUACGGUCUUCGGACAUCAUCAGACCAAACAUCACCAGAGAGAUGAACUGACUGGUGUAAGCCUGCAGACAACACGGUGGCGUCAGCAGAGCCAGGGUGAACAAGUGCAUGGCAACCAUCCAAGACGGAUAGGUCUCUGGGCUUCCCUCUCGGCCUCCUGUCCACCCGCCCACGCGGGUGCCACGCAGCUCCUUCUACCUUGGUGCUGGCCACGCCGAUCUCCGGUCCCGCGUUGAUGUGGACGCCACAGUCAGUCUCUCGGGAGAUGGAGCUGCCCACGGUGUUGGUGACGCCCACGGUCAGGGCCCGGCGGUCCUUACAGUAACGCAGCGCCAGGAGGGUGUCUGCAGUCUCGCCUGCCACACAUGUCCUUCUUUUCAGCUCACAGGUGCUGGCUCGGCCAGCCCGCACCCCCAACCCCCAACUCAUUUACUUUUCUUAGCCAGAAAUUGGGGCCCAGACACAGUGCUCAGAAAGGAAAAUGCGUGCUCAACAAUUUUUCUGGUUGAUUCUUAGAUUCAAGAUUUUGCUUCUUUUUAUGUGGCAAGCACUCUCAUUCACUGUCUCUGAACUCUCAUGACAACUCCAUUGGGGCUGGCACCCCCGUUUUCCCUUGAGGAUGGGGUGCUCAGAGGCGGAGAAAAUUGAUGUCUCAUUUGCUCAAGGCCAAGUAGCUGCGGCUGACAGGGCAGGCCUAGCCCCCCGUGCCCUUUCCCAGACGCUGAACUGCCUUUUUCAGGAUGGGCUGGCAUUUAACAUUGUUGUUUUUUAAGAAUGUCCCUAAAUAGUGCAGAUUUUGUUUUGUUUUUAAAAUUAAAAAAAAAAUUGGGGGGGAGGUAAUUAGGUUUUAAUAUUUAUUUAUAUUUAGAGGAGGGACUGGGGAUUGAACCUAGGACUUUGUGUGUGCUACGCAUGUGCUCUGCCCCUGAGCUAUACCCUCCCCCCAUCAGACAGAUUUUGUUUCAAAGGAGAACAGCUUCUUGCAGCCUCCCAGUUGUGGCCUCAAAUUAUUUUCAUAAUAAAGCUACCUAAAUACUUUCAUGCAAAA